rnacentral:rRNA from 1 species
GAACGAACGUUGGCGGCGUGGAUGAGGCAUGCAAGUCGAACGUGAAAGCCGCAAGGCGAGUAAAGUGGCGGACGGGCGAGUAACACGUAAUCAAGCUACCUGCGAGACGGGAAUAACCUCGGGAAACCGAGGCUAAGACCCGAUGGUCUCCCUGGACCGCAUGGUUCUAGGAGUAAAUGGCCGGGAUCCUUCGGGACCGGCUGCUUGCAGAGGUGAUUGCGGCCCAUCAGCUAGUUGGUAGGGUAACGGCCUACCAAGGCAACGACGGGUAGCCGGCCUUAGAGGGUGGUCGGCCGCACUGGGACUGAGACACUGCCCAGACUCCUACGGGAGGCUGCAGUCGAGAAUCUUCCGCAAUGGGCGAAAGCCUGACGGAGCGACGCCGCGUGGAGGAUGAAGGCCUUCGGGUUGUAAACUCCUGUCACGAGUUAAGAAAGGCAAGCAGCGAACAGUUGUUUGCUCUGACGUAAGCUCGAGAGGAAGCACUGGCUAACUCUGUGC